CUUAAUCUAGUCGUAAUGUGUCAUUGAAUAGGGCUAUAGUUACAAUGCGAUGGCCCUGAAUACUAUUUUAUGUAUUUUUCAUACGAACAUUUCCGCAAUAACUGUCGAAUUUGGAUAUAAAUAGGCGGCUCAAUUGUCAUAUGUCAGUCAAUCAUUAUUUAUCAAUCUAAAGAGGUCUACUAGCAGAAGAUGUUCUUGAAAGUAUUGUGUCUCGCAAUCCUGGUCUGCGCUCUGGCACAGGCUGCACCGAAAGCUAGCACUAUCGAUAAAGCUAAAAUAGGCAACUCUAAAGACGACUGUGACUUGCUGAAGCCCUUAAAAGAUAUGAUUGACACUAAACUGAAAUUUUUGGAACAUAUUCUAAAAGGAGAAAAAAACUCAGAAGUAAUACCAGAUAUAGGAGCUGAUCCUAAAGUUCCCAAAUUUCCAGAAGAAAUGUUGGACUUGUUAGCCCUGGACAACCCCGAUGUCGACGAUUUCACGGCCCUGAACAUAUAGAAUAGAAUACUCCAUCCUAACUAUCACAAAUUAGAAUAGAAUACUCCAUCUUAACUAUUACAAAAAACUAUGGAAUAUCGUGUGAAGCAUGUGCCAAUCCAUAAUCAAUUUAAAUUAUUACUUGUGUUAAUAGAAAAUACAAUUCAAUAAAAUAUGCCUACCCGCA